UACGGAGGGUGCUAGCGUUGUUCGGAAUCACUGGGCGUAAAGCGCGCGCAUGCGGCUUUGCAAGUCAGGGGUGAAAUCCUUGGGCUCAACCCAAGAAUUGCCUUUGAAACUGCAUCGCUGGAGUGUCGGAGGGGAUAGCGGAAUUCCUAAUGUAGUGGUGAAAUACGUAGAUAUUAGGAGGAACACCGGUGGCGAAGGCGGCUAUCUGGACGACAACUGACGCUGAGGCGCGAAAGCGUGGGGAUCAAACAGG
rnacentral:rRNA from 1 species